rnacentral:pre_miRNA from 1 species
CAGAUCAGAAGGUGAUUGUGGCUUUGGGUAAAUAUUGAGCAGCCACAGCACUGCCUGGUCAGA